rnacentral:tRNA from 1 species
GAUCACGUAGUGUAGUGGUUAUCGUGAGUGCAUCUGAUCAAAACUCCGAGGAGGUCCCCUGUUCGAUCCAGGGUGUGGUCA